CAACUAGCCCCAGGAAAACCAAAGUAACAUUUAGUGUGUAUAUAUAAUGUAUGUGUUGAAGUUGUGUAUAAUGGAUUUUAAAAAUUGUGACAUAUAUACUAGAGGUAACAUUUAACAUAGAACUAUUGUGGUAUUAUUUUCAUUGAAUGACAUUGUAUAAUAAAUAAUAAACUUUUGCUUAAUUACAGUACUGUAGUCACUGUCAAGGACGUUGAAUUGAAAUAAAACACACAAG